rnacentral:lncRNA from 1 species
UUGGAUUCCCAUCCUCACGUGGAGUGGCCUCAAAACGAGGGAUGUGUCUUUGGUCUUGUUGUCUUCUGGUAAAGGGUUAGGGUUAAAGGCUACAAUCCACUCAAAACCACUUCCUUCCAAAACCCUAAUUAUUUUUUAUCACAAUGCCUCAUCUUUGUAUUCAAACCCACUCCCCACUUCCCAUAUCCUAUCUUUUUAUUUAGUUUCUUUUCCUUCUUUUCAUGGUUGUGGAAUGCUAGAUUUGAUUCAUUUCUCCUAUAUGGGGCCAUUGGAGGGAGGAGAUCUUUAAGCCACAUGAUCUCUCACCUUUUAUUUGAGUUUUAAAACAAUUCAUAUUUUUAAUCAAUAUUUUUUUCCUUAUUUUAAGAAGGACAACUAAUAUAUCAAUUUCUUUUGCACGUAUUCAUUCACUAGCUUCUUGGUACACGCUUAAUUAAUCUUAUAAAAAUUUAAAUAAUAUUUUUAACAUACGCAUAGGCAUACUUCUAUACGUAUGUUCAACUAAAAAUAAAAUCUUUUUUCUAUUUCUAAAUUUCUUUGUUGGAUUUUUUUAUUAAAAAAAUUAAAAAUAACAAAUGGAAAGUAACCACCCACUAAGUGGCUUUGUGUUGACCUUAACUAAUCAAUUUUAAUAUUUUAGAAUUCUAGUUAAGGGGAGGACAAAAUUUGAUAUUUUGAAUGUUUUACCAGUUUUUCCUUCUUCCUUUAUAUUAUGAAUUUGUCAUGCAUAAUGUAUUUCGCUUAUCAACGUGAAGGGGACCUGAAAUUCGAACUGAGGAUCUUUUCCAAUAUCUAAAAGAAAAUUGUUACUGAAAAAAAAAAAAACUUGGUAGUGAAAAUAUCUACAAAACUUUGAUGAUUAUUUUACACAAGGAAAGAGGGGGAAAACAGAUUUAGGACGGUUGAUAUUAGCAAAAGCCUAUAAAUAGAAAGUAAAUUGGCAAUACAAGAAAGAAAAAAAAUCCACACGACAAAGUUGGCGUGCCAUAAUAGACAAUGCUAUACACCCAACUUUCUUUUGCUAAUCAUUACCUAAAUUACAACAUUGGGUUCAAUGUUGGGAAGAAGAAUUUGGGAGAAAUAAUUGAGUUUUUGAGCACUUCUAUUUUAAAUUUGAAUGCGAUACCUCCAACCCAAUUUCAUCCAUGUACUGAUAUAUCGCAGCACAUGAGUGAGUGUACGAGGAUACAAAAAUUUAUUCUAAAAAUGAAAUUAUGAAUUCCACAUAAAUAAAAUAAUUUUUUUUUUUGCAUGUACUUACAAGUAGUUGAGUUACUUUUCAUAUUGUUACUUGGUUUAUGGUGGAUCUCAAUUUUUUUUCAUGAUAUCAUAAUAAGUUCUCCCACGUGUAAAGCCCAAUGGUCAUAUGUCCUCCACACUACCAACUUUGUGUUGUUUAUGUAUUAGACUUGAAAAUUUAUCAUACGUGAGAUAGCGUAUUGAUAGUAUAAUCUCACAUCAAAAGAAGUAAUUUUUCAUGUGCAUACUUGAAUUACUUCCCAUACUACAAUUGGUAUUAACGGUAAAGCCUCAACUUCAAAAAUAACAUUGCAAGAGCUUAUAAAAAAAAUUAAUUUUCGAGGUACAAUCUCAAGAUUCCUUCGUUAGAUACUCGCUAGCAAUGGCAAAAAUGUUUUGACGAUCAUUUUCCCCUUUU